UUUUAUUUGAGAGUUUGAUCCUGGCUCAGGAUGAACGCUGGCGGCGUGCCUAACACAUGCAAGUUGAGCGAUUUACUUCGGUAAAGAGCGGCGGACGGGUGAGUAACGCGUGGGUAACCUACCCUGUACACACGGAUAACAUACCGAAAGGUAUGCUAAUACGGGAUAAUAUAUUUGAGAGGCAUCUCUUAAAUAUCAAAGGUGAGCCAGUACAGGAUGGACCCGCGUCUGAUUAGCUAGUUGGUAAGGUAACGGCUUACCAAGGCGACGAUCAGUAGCCGACCUGAGAGGGUGAUCGGCCACAUUGGAACUGAGACACGGUCCAAACUCCUACGGGAGGCAGCAGUGGGGAAUAUUGCACAAUGGGCGAAAGCCUGAUGCAGCAACGCCGCGUGAGUGAUGAAGGCCUUCGGGUCGUAAAACUCUGUCCU
rnacentral:rRNA from 1 species